rnacentral:rRNA from 1 species
GACGAACGCUGGCGGCGUGCUUAACACAUGCAAGUCGAACGGAAAGGCCCCCUUGUGGGGUACUCGAGUGGCGAACGGGUGAGUAACACGUGAGUAACCUACCCUUGACUUUGGGAUAACUUCAGGAAACUGGGGCUAAUACCGGAUAGGAGCUCCUGCUGCAUGGUGGGGGUUGGAAAGUUUCGGCGGUUGGGAUGGACUCGCGGCUUAUCAGCUUGUUGGUGGGGUAGUGGCUCACCAAGGCUUUGACGGGUAGCCGGCCUGAGAGGGUGACCGGCCACAUUGGGACUGAGAUACGGCCCAGACUCCUACGGAGGCAGCAGUGGGAAUAUUGCACAAUAGGCGGAAGCCUGAUGCAGCAACGCCGCGUGCGGGAUGACGGCCUCGGUUGUAACCGCUUACGCCUGUGACGAAGCGUGAGUGACGGUAA